CUGCAACAGCAGACUUGUCUGAGGGGAGCACACCGUCUUGGAGAGUGCUUCCGUGGUGAGGCUCCUUCCGGAAGAAGAGUGCAAAGGAAAACAGGAGGCCUGUGAAGAGUGAUAAACUGUUGUGGGAGGUCCUUCUGCUCCUCCAGCCUAUAGCCGCUGAGAUACCAGCCCAUUGGGGCAUGGUCUCUCUCCCUUUAAAAAAGCAGCCACUUGCCUCUCCUCUCUCUCUCUCUUCACUUCCUGAUCCGCUGGUGACUAGACUCCCUUCCUGGUUGCGCAGAGGGCUGUUGUCUGGGACGCUGAUCUAUUUCAACCAUUGCCAAGUCCUACCAGUGUGUUUUCUAAAGAUUAAUUUUUGGAAGCUUUUCAUAUAUAAGGAUAGCUCCUGUGAUAUGUAUUGCAACUUGUGGGCCCUGCAGAAAUUACCUUUUCAUAUGAUUUAUUAAGUGUCAUAUUUGUGGAUUCUGGUUUUUGUAAUGUAUUUAGAAAGUACCCAUUUUUUUUACUCUACUUUAUUCCACAUGAAGAUGAUAAAAGAAAAUUGUAUGUUUUAAUCCAUUUUUUAAAAAUUUGUUUUAAAGUUUGCUUAUAUAUAAUAUACAUAUUUAUACAUACAGAAUAUACAUAUAUUACUACCUAUUGUAUUAUUUUUAUAUAUUUUAUCAUUUUAUUACUAUUGUAAGGGGAUCUUGUUUUUUGUUAGAUCAAUUAACUUAUUGCUUUAAUUUGUGAAAUCUAUUAAUUUGUGUAUAUUAAUCUUCAGCUCAUUCACUGAAUUCUCUGGUGGGUUCUUAAUUAAUUGUCCUGGGAUUUUCACAUGUACAAUUGCAUUAUCUCUAAGUCCUAACAACUUAACCUCUUCCUAACUCAUAUUUAAACCUGAAAAUUCUUUUUUUUAUGUCUUUUGUAUUUAACGACCUCAGGGGAAAAGAAUUAGACAAUCAUGUACUGGUAGGCAUUCAUGCCUCUUACUUGGGAUGUCUUACAUUUUAGGUGGUCUUCUAAUUUUUAAUAAUUCAGUUUCCUUCUAUUCACUAGCACCUUCUAAUUUCAAAAACCCUUUGAUUUAGCACACAUCCUUCCUCUACUCCUCUGAGAUAGCACAAUCUUCUGUCUACUCCUCUGACAUAGUACAGAUCCUCCAUCCACUCCUCUGAGAAAGCACAGAUCCUCCAUCCACUCCUCUGAAAAAGCACACAUCCUCCAUCCACUCCUCUGAGAUAGCACAUAUCCUCCAUCUACUCCUCUGAGAACACAUAUCCUUCCUCUACUCCUCUGAGAUAGCACAAUCUUCUAUCUACUCCUUUGAGGUAGCACACAUCCUCCAUCCAUUCCUCUGAGAUAGCACACAUCCUCCAUCCACUUCUCUGAGAGAGCAUACAUCUUCUAUCUACUGCUCUGAGAUACAUAGCCCAACUACUUGCUCUCUCAAAGCUAUCCACCUUAUUCUUCUUCCUCUAGUCUCCUUUUCUGUUUCUAUUCACUGUUGCUUUCCAUCCAGCUUCUUGCCCCACCACUGGCAAAUGAGUUGCACUGGAAGGGACCAAGUUCCAGAGGACACAGUGGCAUCAGUGUAAGGGAUAAUGUCUCAGGUACUGCCCAAGCUUUCUCCGUGCCAGAUGUGGCAAUUCACGUCCAGUGUCUGCAUGAAUAGUAUCCUUUGGAUUCCCUCCACAGCUUGAUUUGGUGCCUUGUCUUUGACUGCUGGACUGCAGUCUGGUUUGUUAUUCCUCCCACGAGUGACUCUUUACAUUGAAUGUCCGUUUUUAUUAAGCUAUUUUAGGUAUUGCUCUUGAGAUUACCAAUGUUUUCAAGUCAUUCUAAUUGGUCAUUCUUUCUUAAAACAUUCAAAUGUUUAAAUUUUAUAAUGCCACAUUUAAUUUUUUUUUGGAAACCCUUGUCUCUUUUACUAAUAAAGCUUUAUUCCCACAUAUGAUUCAAAUAUUUCCAUGUCUGCUGGUAAAGCUUUAUCUUUCUGUGGCAUGUUCAUGCUCAUAAGUGAUCUCAUAGACUUACAUGAUUGGAACUUUAUAAUAACUACUGUGGACUUCUUUCUUUACAGCAUCUAAGUUCAACCAAUCCCUUUCAGAUUUGUUUGAGUAACUUUGGACCUAAGUUCUGAGUGAUCACAUGAUCUACCAUCAUUCCUUUUUUAUUUUAAUAAAUCUUUAUUUAUUGCAUAUACAGUGUUCUGCUUGCAUGUAUACUUGCAGGUCAGAAAAGGCCACUAGAUCUCAUUACAGAUGGGUAUGAGCCACCAUAUGGUUGCUGGGAAUUGAACUCAGGACCUCUGAAGAGCAGCCAGUGCUCUUAACCUCUGAGCCAUCUCUCCAGCCCACUACCAUCACUUCUUACUUCAAUUCAUGUACUCACUUAACUGAUCCCUGAUCUAGCUAAUUCAAUUCCCAGAGGGGACUCCUACCCUGGGUGCUCAUGCUCUCUAUAGAAGUCAGGUAUAAAAGGUUAUAAUGGAAAAUUGAUGAUGCUCUUUCUCAGCUGAGAGUUCUUUAAAGGGUUGCUUCCCAUUACUGAUGGCUGAAACCCAAAAUGCUUAGCCUGACCUUUAAGAAUUUCAUUUACCUAUGUCCUUUCUACCUUGCUAGUCUUUCAGUACAUUGCAUUAAAAAUUGUUUUGAUUACUUUUUG